AAUAUUAGCCCCAACAUUUGAUUGACUUUUGUGUUUUUGUUAAACAAUAUUUUGAACCAUGUUUGUUUGUAAAAUUGAACAAAGUAAUAGUCUCGACUUAAUUUUGGUCAAAUAAUUUUUAAAUAUGAUAAAAAUUUAAUUGAGUUUGAUUAAUUAAUGAAUUAAAAAUAAGAAAAUAUAUUUUAACAAUAAAUUUAUUUUAUUUAAAAACUAUAUUUAUCAAACCUUAAAAAUAGUUAAAACAAACUUUCCCAAUUUCUUUUAAAAAAAGCAAUGAGCCUUUCAUCUCCUCUCUCAUUAUUAUUAUUCUUCUUCUUCUUUUAGAUCUGAUUCGGGCAGAGCAUCAGAACUUUGGAUGAAGACUAGAGAGGAGGACAGAGCUAGGGGUGGAGCUUCAGGUAGAGGUUCUCUCGACAACAAUCUCACAUGGGUGGAGUUUCAGGCAAAGCUUGGGGCAGAGCUUCAGGCGGAGCUUCUCUCGACGACGAUCUCCCAUGGAUGGAGCUUCAGGCGGAGCUUGGGGCAGAGCUUCAGGUGAAGCUUCUCUUGGUGACGAUCUCACAAUGGUGGAGCUUCAAGCGAAGCUUGGGGAAGAGCUUCAGGUGGAGCUUUCUCUCGGUGACAACGGAGAGAUGGUUGGGUUGGGCGAAGGGCAAGGUGACUAGGAGGAGGAGGCUGGAUAAUGGCGAAUUUGGGUUUCGUUCUUAGUGGUCAAAGCUAGAGGCUAUGUGAUCUGAGUUUAAAAGGAAGAAGAAUUGGUGUUAUUGAAAAGAAGAACGAAGGACAUGAAUAAGAUCUGAGUUUUGAACAGAAACAAAGAACAUGAACAUCUUCACCUCGACUUGCUCAAAUAGAUCCGAGUUUUAAAUGUUUUUAAUUAUUUGGGUAAAAUAAGAUCUGAGAUAUGGGAUUUUACGUCUUUUGUGUUGUGGUUUGGUUGUGAUGAAGCAGAGAUGAACACUGACAAGUCUGGGUUUUUUUAAUAUGAAAUUUUGUGUUUUUUGUGUUGUUAUUUGGUUGUGAUAAUGAGAAGAUGAACAGAUUGAUCA